UACGGAGGGGGCUAGCGUUGUUCGGAAUUACUGGGCGUAAAGCGCACGUAGGCGGAUAUUUAAGUCAGGGGUGAAAUCCCGGGGCUCAACCCCGGAACUGCCUUUGAUACUGGGCAUCUGGAGGUCGAGAGAGGCGAGUGGAAUUCCGAGUGUAGAGGUGAAAUUCGUAGAUAUUCGGAGGAACACCAGUGGCGAAGGCGGCUCGCUGGCUCGAUACUGACGCUGAGGUGCGAAAGCGUGGGGAGCAAACAGG
rnacentral:rRNA from 1 species